rnacentral:rRNA from 1 species
UACGUAGGGUCCGAGCGUUGUCCGGAAUUAUUGGGCGUAAAGGGCUCGUAGGCGGUUCGUCACGUCGGGAGUGAAAACUCGGGGCUUAACCCCGAGCCUGCUUCCGAUACGGGCAGACUAGAGGUAGGCAGGGGAGAGCGGAACUCGAUGGUGUACGCGGUGGAAUGCGGACAGAGUAUCAGGAAGAACGAACCGGCUGG